CACCACGGGGACGGGGCGCCCGCCGGAGGAAACCAAACUCUAUUUACACGACGUCUCUUCUGAGUGGCACAAGCAAAUAAUUAAAACUUUUAACAACGGAUCUCUUGGUUCUGGCAUCGAUGAAGAACGCAGCGAAAUGCGAUAAGUAAUGUGAAUUGCAGAAUUCAGUGAAUCAUCGAAUCUUUGAACGCACAUUGCGCUCGCCAGCAUUCUGGCGAGCAUGCCUGUUCGAGCGUCAUUUCAACCCUCAAGCACCGCUUGGUUUUGGGGCCCCACGGCCGACGUGGGCCCUUAAAGGUAGUGGCGGACCCUCCCGGAGCCUCCUUUGCGUAGUAACUAACGUCUCGCACUGGGAUCCGGAGGGACUCUUGCCGUUAAACCCCCAAAUUCUUUACAGGUUGACCUCGGAUCAGGUAGGAAUA
rnacentral:rRNA from 1 species